rnacentral:rRNA from 1 species
UACGUAGGGGCCAAGCGUUGUCCGGAUUUAUUGGGCGUAAAGAGCUCGUAGGCGGUUCGGCAAGUCAGCUGUGAAAUCUCCACGCUCAACGUGGAGGGGUCAGCUGAUACUGCUGUGACUCGAGUCCGGUAGGGGAGUGUGGAAUUCCCGGUGUAGCGGUGAAAUGCGCAGAUAUCGGGAGGAACACCUGUGGCGAAAGCGGCGCACUGGACCACAACUGACGCUGAGGCGCGAAAGCUAGGGGAGCAAACAGG